GACGAACGCUGGCGGCGUGCUUAACACAUGCAAGUCGAACGGAAAGGCCCUGCUUUUGUGGGGUGCUCGAGUGGCGAACGGGUGAGUAACACGUGAGUAACCUGCCCUUGACUUUGGGAUAACUUCAGGAAACUGGGGCUAAUACCGGAUAGGAGCUCCUGCUGCAUGGUGGGGGUUGGAAAGUUUCGGCGGUUGGGGAUGGACUCGCGGCUUAUCAGCUUGUUGGUGUGGUAGUGGCUUACCAAGGCUUUGACGGGUAGCCGGCCUGAGAGGGUGACCGGCCACAUUGGGACUGAGAUACGGCCCAGACUCCUACGGGAGGCAGCAGUGGGGAAUAUUGCAGAAUGGGCGGAAGCCUGAUGCAGCAACGCCGCGUGCGGGAUGACGGCCUUCGGGUUGUAAACCGCUUUCGCCUGUGACGAAGCGUGAGUGACGGUAAUGGGUAAAGAAGCACCGGCUAACUACGUG
rnacentral:rRNA from 1 species